rnacentral:lncRNA from 1 species
GCGGUGUCGGCUGUCUGCUCCGAGUGCGGGGCCGCUGAGCCCAUGCCCACCCGGAACUCACGCUGACCCGCGAGCGCCGCACGCAGCGCGCCCGCACCUCUCCCUCCGCCCCUCACGGUAAGCAGAGGGAGCCGGCUCCAGCCUCGGCCUACCCAGAGAGGAGCUCCCACAAUGCCUUGGUGGGCUGAAGGGCUCCUCAAGCGCUGCCAGAGUGGAUGCCGAGGCCGAGGAGGCUCCGAGAGUGAGGGCUGCUAGCAUGCUGUCACCUCUCAUUCCCGUCUCCUAAUGCUUGCUUCUAUGAGGUUGCCGUGGUCUGGGGCACAUCAGAAUCCUGACUUCAAUUUGGCAAUUUCCAUUAUAAUUGAAGGUCUGAAAAGUUCUUAAAAAGUUCACUUCUUGCCUAAGAAAAUAAUAUAUCUUAUGAAUAUAUGUUACCAUCUCACAGAACACAGUGUGGAGAAUACUGGUAUAAAACAUCAUUCCUCAUCAUGUGUUAUCAGCGUAUUGGUAAGCAACAAAGAACUAGUUCUACCCUUUUACCUUGUAAACCCAGCCCUUGACAUCUUAUUUAUGUGCAAGGCAAGUGCAAAGCAGGUUUGGGGACAGGACAGUCUCUGGAGUAUAAGGACAAGUUAUUUGUUUUCUAUGCUGAAGGGGCCAUAAAAACAGUAACAUAUUUAAUGAGGCCUCACUGUAGCUAUUUUAGCCUCCAUAAAACAUCUUAUUCAGCCUAACCUACAAUUACUUAAUGGACAGCGUUUUACAAAUAGCUAGUCUCCAGCCUCAAAUGUUUAUUAAGUGUCUGUUCCUUUUGGAGCCACUUUACUAAGGAGAGUCAUGCAAGAUUAAAAAGACAGAAUAUUAAAAAUUCAGCCAAGACACACCAGGGCUACCCUGAUGAUAACAACUGUGGUGUAACGUUUUUGAAUUCAUAUGGAUUCCCAUGUUCUCAGUAAAAGAUACCCUACCAUUUCCCAACAUUCUUUCAUUAAAAAAAUUAUUUGGACCAUCAUGGGUAUUUGGCAUUUCUUUUUUGCAUAAGACAGAUCCUCUGUGAGUUGUAUUUUUCUAAGAAAUGUUGAGUUGUAAAAGAUAAAGGUGAAUGAAUAUUUAUUUAUUUUAUACAGCACUUUAAAGUUUGCAGAAAACUCCCCCCCGACUAUCAUUUUUGUACUUACAAAAAUCCCAUGAGAAUGGCAGUAUUACAAGCACCACAAAAGUGACCAGUGUCCCUCAUCCAGCAAUGUAAAACCAGAUACCUACACCAAGGUUUGCAGCAAUAAAAAGAAAGACUUUUAUGGCAGGGUGCCAAGCAAG